rnacentral:rRNA from 1 species
GGUUAAGCGACUAAGCGUACACGGUGGAUGCCUUGGCAGUCAGAGGCGAUGAAGGACGUGCUAAUCUGCGAUAAGCGUCGGUAAGGUGAUAUGAACCGUUAUAACCGGCGAUUUCCGAAUGGGGAAACCCAGUGUGAUUCGUCA